ACUUAGCAGCGAACGGGUGAGUAACACGUAGAUAAUCUAUCCUAUACUGGGGGAUAGCCCGAUGAAAGUUGGAUUAAUACCGCAUAUAGCUAUAUAGUUGCAUGAUUAUGUAGUGAAAGAUUUAUUGGUAUAGGAGGAGUCUGCGGCACAUUAGCUAGUAGGUGAGGUAAAGGCUUACCUAGGCGACGAUGUGUAGCCGGUCUGAGAGGAUGAACGGCCACAAUGGAACUGAGACACGGUCCAUACUCCUACGGGAGGCAGCAGUGGGGAAUAUUGCACAAUGGGGGAAACCCUGAUGCAGCAACGCCGCGUGAGUGAAGAAGGUUUUCGGAUUGUAAAGCUCUGUUAGCAGGGAAGAGGAAGGACGGUACCUGCAGAGGAAGCCACGGCUAACUACGUGCCAGCAGCCGCGGUAAUACGUAGGUGGCAAGCGUUGUUCGGAAUAACUGGGCGUAAAGGAUGCGUAGGCGGUUAAACAAGUUAUAUGUUAAAUAUAUAGGCUUAACCUGUAGAAAGCAUAUAAAACUGUUUAACUAGAGUGCAGGAGAGGUAAGUGGAAUUCCUAGUGUAGCGGUGAAAUGCGUAGAGAUUAGGAAGAACACCAGUGGCGAAGGCGACUUACUGGACUGUAACUGACGCUGAGGCAUGAGAGCAUGGGGAGCAAACAGGAUUAGAUACCCUGGUAGUCCAUGCUGUAAACGAUGGGUACUAGGUGUGGGUUGUGAAUAACAAU
rnacentral:rRNA from 1 species